AAUUAUCAACCUAGAAAGCUUUUGCUCUUCUACGGCUUGGACUUGAGGGCUUUGCUGGCUUUCCUUCAUUGGACGGUCUGCUCCCUUUAAAUGCAUUAGUGGGAUCUCCCUGUAGCCGGUCUUUCGGUGUGAUAAUUAUCUGCACUGUUUGUACUUACAGAACGAGGACCUGCUUCUAACCGUCCUUCAGUUGGACAACUUUCCUUUUAAU
rnacentral:misc_RNA from 1 species